rnacentral:rRNA from 1 species
GAUGAACGCUGGCGGCGUGCCUAAUACAUGCAAGUCGAGCGCACGGACGAGAAGCUUGCUUCUUUGAUGUUAGCGGCGGACGGGUGAGUAACACGUGGAUAACCUACCUAUAAGACUGGGAUAACUUCGGGAAACCGGAGCUCACACCGGAUAAUAUUUUGAACCACAUGGUUCAAAAGUGAAAGACGGUCUUGCUGUCACUUAUAGAUGGAUCCGCGCUGCAUUAGCUAGUUGGUAAGGUAACGGCUUACCAAGGCAACGAUGCAUAGCCGACCUGAGAGGGUGAUCGGCCACACUGGAACUGAGACACGGUCAAGACUCCUACGGGAGGAAGCAGUAGGGAAGCUUCCGCAAUGGGCGAAAGCCUGACGGAGCAACGCGGCGUGAGUGAUGAAAGUCUUCGGAUCGUAAAACCCUGUUAUUAGGGAAGAACAUAUGUGUAAGUAAAUGUGCACAUCUUGACGGUACCUAAUAAGAAAGCCACGGCUAACUACGUG